rnacentral:rRNA from 1 species
CUGCUGCCUUCCGUAGGAGUUUGGGCCGUGUCUCAGUCCCAAUGUGGCCGUCCACCCUCUCAGGCCGGCUACUGAUCGUCGCUUUGGUAGGCCGUUACCCUGCCAACUGGCUAAUCAGACGCGGGUCCAUCGCAUACCACCUUCGGUUUUUCACACUGGACCAUGCGGUCCCGUGCGCUUAUGCGGUAUUAGCACCUGUUUCCAGGUGUUAUCCCCCGGUAUACGGCAGGUUACCCACGCGUUACUCACCCGUCCGCCACUAACUUAA